AAAAAAGCAGGGGCCUUGUUGCCUUCGUGAGCGGGCCUCCCGUAAACUUCAGGGAAAUCGUUUCCAUCAUUAUUGGGUGAACCUCUGUUAAUUUUUGUAACACAAGGUUCAGUAAAUGAUGGUACAUUA